rnacentral:rRNA from 1 species
UGGGGAAUAUUGCGCAAUGGGGGCAACCCUGACGCAGCCAUGCCGCGUGAAUGAAGAAGGCCUUCGGGUUGUAAAGUUCUUUCGGUGUUGAGGAAGGAUGUUGUGUUAAUAGCACAACAAAUUGACGUUAAACACAGAAGAAGCACCGGCUAACUCCGUGCCAGCAGCCGCGGUAAUACGGAGGGUGCGAGCGUUAAUCGGAAUAACUGGGCGUAAAGGGCACGCAGGCGGAUUUUUAAGUGAGGUGUGAAAGCCCCGGGCUUAACCUGGGAAUUGCAUUUCAGACUGGGGAUCUAGAGUACUUUAGGGAGGGGUAGAAUUCCACGUGUAGCGGUGAAAUGCGUAGAGAUGUGGAGGAAUACCGAAGGCGAAGGCAGCCCCUUGGGAAUGUACUGACGCUCAUGUGCGAAAGCGUGGGGAGCAAACA